UCACCAAGGUACUUCAGCACAAGCUUCAUUUUAAAUACAGGACUAUCACUGGCUUCCACAGCAUUGCUGCAGUGCUUCCAGUUGUGGAAAUGCUGAAGCACCUGCCCAGACUGGAGUGUGAAAUACUGAUAAGAGAGAAAAUACUUUUACAGCAAGAGCUUGGCUUACAGCUGUUUGGAAAUGCCAAAAAGAAGAGCUCCCCAGACCUGGCAGCUCUAAACUGGGGGAAGAACUCUGUCAGUGGCCAGGAUGAGAAAAGGUCCUUGCAAGGGUCAAGCUUAAAAGGGAGCAAGAAGAGUGAGGUGAAGGCAAAACAGAAACCAGUAUCACCAGUUUAAUGGAGAUGUUCAGCUCAUCUUCCAGAGACUACUGGUAGAGAAGCAACCUUCAUUCUUCAAAAACCAAGUGAGGGGUUCCCAGCGUGGGCAGGAGAGGCUGAAGAGCAGAAGGGCUGAGGAGAGGACACCUGGAGCUCUGUGCAGCAGGAAAGACAAGGAGAGGGCAGCCCUGGAGCCUGGCUCCCACAGCUGAUCCCAGGUUUAGAACAUCAGAUGACUCCUAGCAGAUGUGAAAUGCUUCUAGAAGCCAAACAGUGGUUCUGUUCAUGCCCUUUGGACCACUCUCUUGAUGAAAUGGCCCCCAGGACCUGUCCCAGCUCUCCCUGGGUACUUCUACACCAGCAAACUCCAGAGGCCCCUGAGCUCAGAGAUGUGGAG